GUGGGUGGAGUGGAGCGUGUGUGAGUGAGUGAGUGCUGAAAGUUUGGCCGCCGUGCCAUAAACUUUUGUCCUUUUUUCUACCUUUUUUCUAUCUUUCUAUUUUUUUUUGUAUACGGUUUGUUAGUUUAUUGUUGUUUGAAUUUUGUUAAAAGUGCACGCGCCAGGCGUCUGCUUCCUGUUGGAAGUAUGGCGGCGCGAAGUGCAUCUGAGCAGCGUUUUGGCUUUCUAACGAGGAAGCAUGGGAUUAAAAUAGAUUCACCUCUUUCAGUGGAGGAGAUCAGUUUGGCUGUGGGAGGUUUAAUUGGUCAUGACAAUGUUUUGUCUGCGUCUCGCAUGAACAGGGCAGUGGUUUUAUUCCUUGCUUCUGUUGAUUUGGUAAACGAAAUGGAGGAGACUGGGGUAGUGGUUGAGGAGGUUUUUCUCCCCGUUUUACCUUUGUCGAGCCCUUCAAGAAAAGUAAUGCUUUCUAAUGUGCCCCCCUUUAUUAGCAAUGAUGUGCUUACAGAGGUCUUAUCUCGUUACAGAAAAGUAGUAUCUCCCCCAAAAAUGAUACCGAUGGCAACCAAAUCUCCGCUAUUAAAGCAUGUUGUCUCGUUCCGAAGGUUCGCUUAUAUAAUUUUGAAAGAAGGGAGAACUUGAAAUCUCUCUGAAUAUUAAGGUGGAUGAUUUUAAGUACAUGAUUUAUGUGACCACAAAUACAAUGAAAUGUUUUGGAUGUGGACAGCUGGGGCACCUGGCGCGUAAUUGUCCAGAUAAGGUGAAACCAAAUAAUGUGAAUUUAAAAGAGGGUAUCCCCAGUGACGAAAGAUCUCAGGAAACACCCAAUACUGAGAAUGAUGAGGCACCUACGGGUGAGGAGAGUGAAGGUGCGGGUGAUGGGAAUGGUGAAGGAGAGGUAGCCCCUCCGGCUGAGACACCAGAAGAUGGUGACUCAAUGGAUCUCGUUUCGGAAUCUGAAAUGCCCGCUGCUUCGCAGGGUAAUUACACAGAUCUAGUGGAAUAAAUCUUUAAUGAAGUUAUUAACGAACAUAACCCUCCUAUAGAAACUGAAAAUGUUUUUUAAAUGCCGUCUAAGAAAAGGGGUCAUCCAGGCUCUAAAGGCAAAGCAAAGAAGAGUCUGACAGUUGAUGUGCCCGAUAGUGAGAGUGAUUAUGCAUCUGACUGUAGUGUUACCUGCAGUCUACGCACAAGUGGCUUUUCUCAACAGAAUUAGUGUCGAAGAUAUCAAAGCGUUUUUAACCAAAACCAAACAUGCUAGGAAUGUAAGGAUUGAUGAUCAUUUUGCAGAUGUUGAUCAGUUUAUUGGGCGGCACGGUGGUGUAGUGGUUAGCGCUGUCGCCUCACAGCAAGAAGGUCCUGGGUUCGAGCCCUGGGGCCGGCGAGGGCCUUUCUGUGUGGAGUUUGCAUGUUCUCCCCGUGUCCGCGUGGGUUUCCUCAGGGUGCUCCGGUUUCCCCCACAGUCCAAAGACAUGCAGGUUAGGUUAACUGGUGACUCUAAAUUGACCGUAGGUGUGAAUGGUUGUCUGUGUCUAUGUGUCAGCCCUGUGAUGACCUGGCGGCUUGUCCAGGGUGUACCCCGCCUUUCACCCGUAGUCAGCUGGGAUAGGCUCCAGCUUGCCUGCGACCCUGUAGAAGGAUAAAGUGGCUAGAGAUAAUGAGGUGAGAUCAGUUUAUUGCAAAGACCAAACUGUUUGUCAGAAGGGGGAUUUACCGAUCAAGAGGGCUUCCGUUUAAAAAAGAUACUGGGCAAGUUAAACGAUAGUGAUGUUAAAAAUCAAUUGUAAUUCUUCUCUAUGAUCAUUAUGUAUCUUAAGUUCUAUAUUUUAUAUUUCCUUUUGUGUGAAUUUCUACGGAGCCGUAGAGGGGACAUGGUGAAUAAAAAAAUAACAAAGCGUGGGAACGACUUAUAAGGCGUGUGCACGAGAUAUUAAUGCGCGCGCACGAGUUAUAACCCGUGCGCACGCUUUGCGUUAAGGCGUGCGCUCGGGUAGUCAAAAGUGAGGGGACGAGUUACAAAUCGUUCCCUCGCUUUCAUUAAGGCGUGUGCACGAGAUAUUAAAUCGUUCCCUCGCUUUCAUUAAGGCGUGAGCACGAGAUAUUAAUACGUGCGCUCGAGUUAUAAAGGCGUGCGCACGGGUUAUUAAAAAGUGAGGGAACGUCUUAAAACGCGUUCCCUCGGUUUAUAUCCAAGGCGUGGGAAUGAUAUCCUAUGUCGUUCCCUCGACUUAUUAAAAUAUUCCCACAAUAUCCUUGUUUUCGUUGAUCUCGUUGCCUACACACACACACAUACACACAGGCUGUAGGUCACCAUGGUAGCUCCGGAAAUACUAGACGCUAUUUUAUUCUAUUUUAAUACUGGACUCAGAUACACAGAAAUCCUCGAUGCACUUGCAUCCCAAUAUGGCUUUAUUAUCAGAGGUGUCAAAUAACGAAGUACAAAUACUUCGUUACUUUACUUAAGUAGAAAUUUUGUUACUUUCUACUUUACUGGAGUAAUAAUUUUUCAACCUACUUUUUAUCUCUACUCGUUACAUUUUCAAGCAUUUACUUUAACUUCGUUACGUUUAUAAUAGUCUCGUUACUUACAUUUCAUUGCGCCAAUCUUUAUAUUACUUAUAUUACUUUGUCCACCUAAUAAACUGCCACUCAGGGCACUCCAAGCACACAGCAAUCAGAGCUCUGACUUCAACACCGUUAGUAAAUUGCGGGCUCUCGUUCGUUUGUCAGGAGUGGAAUCCCCCCCACGAACCAUGCGGCAUUCUCUUUUCUGAGUCAGGUUAAGUUUACAAACGCAGUUAUGGUAUCUUGGUGGGGGUUAGUGAGUAAAGUGAGGUCUUAGCUUAGUAAACGUUAUAUUAGCUUGUAGUGUGUCGGCAUUCCAGCGGCCGCCCUUUCUCUCCUCGCCUGUGUUCAGCCUCGCAUUGCUGGAACACAAACAUUCUGUUGACUUCUCUCGGUGAGCCAGUAACUAGUAGGGAUGAGAAAGUGUUUUUCUUGCAUUUUAACUGGAACCUGCUGCCUCUACUGUACGUCCCAUAUGAAAAAGAGAAAAACUGUAAUUUUACAGUAGUGUUAGUGUAGCAUUCAUUCAUUCAUUCAUUCAUAGCAUUCAAAUACUGUAUUAUUACUGCUGUUUAGACAGUGAAUGCAAUGCAACUUUGGACACAAAAUGAUUGCCAGCAUACUGCAAAAAUAUUGCGUUAUACAAUAUUUUGGACAUUACAAUGCUGCAAUCUUUUCAAAUAAAUCGUAUUACUUUAGUUGUUUUUUCCAUCUGUGUGGAUCAGUAGGAUGGGGUGAUGUGGUCGAGACGUGUGUGUGUGUGUGUGUGUGUGUGUGUGUGUGUGUGUGUGUGUGUGUGUUUUAAUAUAUACAUUUUCAAUAAAAAUGUAUUGAUAACUUACUUCUGAGGUAUGAAGUUUUACACCAUUACAACACUUUCAGACAACAAGUCAUUAUUACUUGUGCUCCAUGAAACACAUUUUAAUGGGUCAGAAGAAUGUACUGUAUGUGGACUUCUAGGCUGCGCCUUUGUCCUUAAUAGCAUUUUUUCCUCUUUCAUUACUUUUACUUUUGUACUUUAAAGUAGUUUAGAAAUCAGUAUACUUUUUACUUUUACUUGAGUAAAAAGCUUCAGUUGAUACUUUUAGGGGAAACCGGGUAUGGUUGUAACACGGGGGGAGUUGUAACCACUAAUUCCACCAAUCAGGGAUAAGAUACAAGUCAUGUGGCAAUUAGAAUCUCUUCAUAGUUCCUUUUCGACCACGCAUGGACAUUUGGAAAUCGUUGGCGCAAGUUCUCACGGAGAGAAGUGAAAAAAACAAAGUCUGAGCUCAGGGAAGCCACCCAGUGAUCAUGAUGGAGAGUUAUGAUCACUCAGGAGGGAUUAAUCUAGUGUGUGAGUCCAGAGGCUGGAAACCUGAACCUGAGGUUGUGUGGCUGGACAGAGAAGGAGCCGCUCUGCCUGCUGAAGAUACACAGACACACAGAGACACCGAGACCUUCAGUGUGAAAAGCCGCACCACUGUUUAUGAUUAUAGCGACUCCAACAGAUAUUAUUGCAGACUUCUACAAGAACAUCACAUGAUGGAGACAGAGGUCAUCAUUAAUCGUAAAGUCUUUGAUGCUUGGAGGUGGGUUGUCGGUGUUUCAGUUUCAGCAUGUCUUAUUGCUGUCGGAUCGAUAGUAACUGCAGUUAUCUGUUACAAGAAAGGUAAUAUUUCAAUCAUUUUCCAUUGUAAUGUCUCCAGCUUCAAUCAGUUUAUCCCGGAGCUUUAGUCCACAGAUUCCCAGCCCUGGUCCCGGAGAAGCCCAUGUCCUACACAUUUCAGUGUUUUUCCUGCUCUAACACACUCACUUUAACUCAGGAAGAGCUGUUAAUGAGCUGAUCGUCUGGAUCAGGUGUGUUAGAGCACAGAGAACACUAAUAUAUGUGUCGGACAGUGGGUUCUCCAGGACCAAGGUAAAGAACCUGUGCUUUAGUCAGCAGUCCACAGGAGUCCAGUUGGCCGUGCUGUCUGUGAAGAGGAUGAUUUAAUUCAGUCCUGUCUCAAACUCUCACCUCUAUUUCUUAAUCUAUUCACUUCAAUUACCACAAACCCUUUCUGCAAAAGUGAAAAGUAAAAGGACAAGGAGGUUUACAGCACAUUUCACUUGAAAAAGUUAUGUAGUUAUACCUUAAAUUUUGAAGUUAAAACAAAAGCUCUUAAUUUAAAAUGUCAUCAGUGUUGUUUAACUUUAACUGAGCUUUGGUGAAUUUAAAAAAAAAAAACUUGGCACUUCUAAGGUAAAGUCAAACUCUCAGAUUAUUGGUUUAAACAUUGAUGACCAGAUCUGUUUUGAUAAGACCAAGGUAGCAGAGAAAUUCAAUAACUUCUUUUCAACCACUGCAUCAUCUCUGGAACUGCAGUUACCAUCCGGAUGUGGAAAAUACGGCCCUAAUCAUGUGUAUAAGUGCUAUGAACAGGUGCGUCUCUCUGGCUCUCAGUUCUCAUUUGAACCAAUCUCUGAGGAAUUCAUCCAAAAGACUCUCCUCAAUCUAAAUCCGAAUAACUGGACUGGAUCAGAUUCCCACACAUCUUUUAAAAGAUGGAGCUGAGUUCAUAACCUCUCCACUCACUCAUCUUCUAAAUCUGUCCCUUUCUACUGGUAAGAUCCCUUCUGACAUUAAGUCUGCUAAAAUUUCCCCGAUCUGUAAGAAACAUAGCAAAGCUGAAGCUGGCAACUAUCAUCUGGUCUCAAUCCUCAGUAUUGUAAGUAAGGUUUUGGAAAAAGCUGUAUCUGUACAACUUAUUAAUUAUCUCACAGAUCACAGGCUCAACAAGUUGUCUCUGCACCUUGGCAAGACAGAAUCCAUACAGUACUUUUUGGCUCCAAACACAGACUUAAUAGUAACGAAUCUCUGGACAUCACAUGUAAUGGUCAAAAAAUUACCAGUAAAUCCUGUGUUAAAUACUCAGGCGUUGAUUUAGACCAGUCUCUUAGUGGUAACCGUAUAGCUGAAAAUAUUAUACGCAAGGCCAACGCCAAACUCAAGCUUCUAUAUAGGCAGGCCAGGAACCCCGAUAAGGGGUGUGUGUGUGUGUGUGUGUGUGUGUGUGUGUGUAUAUCAAAUACUCUGUGUGUGUGUGUGUGUGUGUGUGUGUAUAUCAAAUAUACUGUGUGUGUGUGUGUGUGUGUGUGUGUAUCUCCAACCAAAAGUGGCUGCAGUGAUUUAAAAAAAUAUAUACAGGGGUCACCAAACACACACUGUUUGUCCAUGAGCUAAUAUACGAGUGUACUAGUGAACUUCAGCUUACAUUCAGCAAAAUCCCCAGUGUUGAAUUAACACCCAGAGUGUUUAUAUAUGUCCAACUGGUCACAAAUUAACUCUGAAAGUGAUAAUUCAACACUGGGGAGCAGUAAUCAGGAGCUGGAACAACUGUGAGUUGAGAGCAUGUUGUUGUGUCUGUCAGCACUGCAUGCUACUGCUGCUGAUCCUCCACAUAGCCGAGCCACUGCCACAGUGGGCAGCUCUGAAGUUUCUCAGCACAGCAGUCACAGUGUUGCUGUCCAGUGCUUCUGUGGCUGACUGCAUUAUAGACGCAGCACUGCAGACUUAUUAAAGAGCUGCAGACAGAGAAAUCCAGAAAGCAGAAUUUAAAGAGAAUAUGAUCUUCAAAAACCAUAAACUGAUGGAUAAACACAAAACAGUAGAACAGAUGAUAUAUCAGUAAAUCCACAACUGAAUUCACAGAGAAUUUCAGCAAGGCUUCAGAUCACUCACGGUAUAUGAUAUUAUUUACUCUGGAAUUAAUUGACUAAUGUUUGUUUCUUUGUUUGUUAAAAUAAUGAACCUGUUUUCUCCUCAGAGCUUCAGAAGCAAAAAGCAGGGAAGAGUGAGCUUUUUGUCCUUUUAAAAUCACACUGAUUAAUUAAUUGAAAGAAACUUAAAGGUGUUGACUGCAAAGUCAUCUGAAAUUUUCAGGUUUUUUUUUUUUUUUUAAUCGUGCAUGGCAUUUUCCUGUGUCUUGCGAGAACAAGAUCACGUGGAUGAGAUGUGAUCAUUCUGAUGCGCUAAGGCGCUGUUUACACAUACCCGGGUAUUUUUAAAAACGCAUAUUUUCUAAACUCCGUUUUCCAAAAUAACUUCGUGCACACAGCUGCGUUUUUUUUUUAAUUCCGUUUAUAUUGAUCCGCAUAAAUACGCUGUCAAGAGCUGUUAAACUACGCGAGUGUGUGUGUGUGUGAGAGAGAGAGAGGUGUUUGUGUGUGUGAGCAGGGGCACCGCUAGAAAUCUUGGGCCCUAUGAAAGAUUACAAUUUAGGGCCCCCCCGGUAAAAUUUUCAAGCUCAAGCAACUGAAUUUGAAGUCUGUUUUUGGCUGGCACUUCUACUUUACUAUGCAUGUGAUCAGCUACCUAUCAAGUUUAGGUGAUACAAUUAUUUGGUAUAUGAACAUUUUAAAUGCAGAACUGUCAGAAUUAGACUGAAUAGACUGUUGCCUUAAAAUGAAAAUUCCAUGAUAUAUAUGGAAGAUAUAUAUAUUUUCCUUUUAUGAGCAACUAUUAUUAGGCCACUCAGUAGCCUAUGGAGUUCAUUCAAUCCAAAUGUUUGUGUUGAGAGAAAUUGCAUGCAUCACUGUAUCAGUAUGGAUUUAUAACAUUCUGUAUGCACAUUAUGGAUACUCCAGAGCCCUCCAGCAAACAUCAUCAAUAAUCAGGAUUACAAAAUGUAUUCCUUUGUUUCCUCCAUUUAUUGACUUAUUGUAUGUGAUCAAAUGUACGCCUUGAUGAAUAACUACACUAGUUUUUUGAUACAAUUACAGAGUGCACUGCAAGAAAUCCACUAAGUGUUUUUGGUUUCUUUUAGGCAUCACACAUUUAUUAGAAAACACAGCAAAUGUUCAAAUAUUCAAGUUAAAUACUUAGCAACAGUAUCAAUAAAUCCACGCAUGAACAAUAGCAAUGAUCUCUAUGACCACAGCUAAUGUGCAAAAUAUUAAAGUUAAAUACUUAACGAUAUCAACAAAUCCACACAUGAACAAUGGCAAAACACCUAGACUUAAUUAUACCUAAGAUACCUAUGAAAUAUACCAAAGAUACCUAUGAAAAAAGGUGAAUUUUUUUCACACACAGUGUGAUAUCCGGACUUCAUAAUUUAUCACACCUGCUCCUGCUUCGCAACUUCUAGAAUGUUCACCUCUGUUGCGCACGUAGAAAAACUGCCAGCUGCUGUGAGUUGCGCUAAUAGCGGCGCUGCGCACACACGGAGCUACACAUUUCACGCGUCCCGCGCCCAGAAUCAGACUGUACCAUUAGUAAAAAAGGGUGGAGGGGUGAAAUGACAAUAUCAUAAAUAAUUCAAGAAAAAUGUUAUAGCAAAUCAUAACCAUGUAUAAUUUGCAUAUUUUAACAGAUGAAAUAUUUUAUUUCAAAAACUUACACAAGGCAAUACUAUUAAAAUAAUAUUAAUAUCCCUCACAGGGCCCCCUGUCAGUGCCAGGCCCUUAGAAUCGUCCUAACUUUCCCCCCCUAGCGGCGCCCCUGUGUGUGUGUGAGAGAGAGAGAGAGAGAGAGAGAGAGUGUGUGUGUGUUCUGGCUCUUUUGGUCACCAGAAGCUCCGCAAUUGCUGCCCUCCGAGCCCUAAUGCGUCUCUGCUGGUCAAUGAGCUUUAUUCUCAAAAGCAAACAGGCGAAUAUAGCUCUUAAUAACAGAAAUGCUGCUACUCUGAGUGUUUCCAUGCUUGUCAUAUGUACAAUGGUCGCUCUUUUGUGGCACGAAGAUUGCCUAAAACUCCGUUUUGGUCUCUUUACACACAAACGCAAAACGGAGUUUUCAAAAAAUCUCCACUUUUGCCGGGGUUUUUAGAAAGAAUCGUUUUCAGAGGAAAAAACUCCGUUUGUGUAUAAACGAAAGGCACAAACGAAGGCAAAGGUCUGCGUUUUUAAAAAUACCCGGGUAUGUGUAAACGGCGCCUAAGAGUCACUUUUCUCCAUUUUGGAACUGUUUUCCUACUUCUUGAGGUAAACAGUACGACCCCACGGAAACAGCCGAAUGUGAGGAGCUGUUUAAUUAGCAUAACUAUGGAACUGCGUCACGCCAAGAUCACACAGAAAACACUGAGGCUACAUCCACAUGACAGUGGCAACGAGAUUUUUUUAAAAAAAUAUCGCGUCCACAUGGGCAACGGAUCAGUAAAAUAUCAGGUACAUAUGGCAAUGCAGCGCUUGCUGAAAAUGAUGCAAUACACAUGCCACACCUCUACGUGCGCUGUAAGAUGGUCCCAUCGGAGACACCAGAACAAUAGAAGAAGUACGGUGCAUGCGCAUAAACCCCUUCUUCUACCCGGCGUCAUAGACAUAUAAACACAGACGCCGCAUUGAGCCUGGUGGCCUGUUGUUGGGAUACGUCAGAGUGUCCGCCAUAUUGGAUGUGGCAAAUCUUCCCCGUAAACCAAUGCAAGUAAAUGGACUGAACUUCAUAAAGCCCCUUUCUAUAAUAAUGUUUACCUCGAUGCCUUUUAUUCACCCAUUAAGAGACACACGUAUAUAUUUGGGAAACAAACAGGCAUCAAAACAACAUGUAUAACUUUUAAUGUGAUGGUUAUAAAUAGUGUGCGAAAUACCCGUCAAUAUUCCGUGGGAGGUGUGACCUAAAUUUCCUCAACAUGCAGCAGGCCUAUACCGGAAUCAAGCUAUCAGAAACUUUUGUUUUUUUUUAUUCCGCUGCUACUAUCGUAGGCUACUAAUGAUAGCUACACAUCAAGGCAUGUUUUGGAGCUCAGCAGGGAUCGUGUAGAAUAAUGUGCUGUGCUUACGCUGCUGAAGCCGUGCCGUCUCCGCAUCACUUUCAUUAAACGCCGUGCAGAUAGGCUAUAAAAUGUCUCCAAAAACAAUUUUUGCAAUAUACAGUGCUAUAUGGAAAAAAUUCAAUUAAACCAUAUUACAAUGGGAUUGCUCCAUGUGAUUGCUUCACAGUCUGACAUGCUUCCAAUCUCUUCUAUUUUUGAGUGUGCCAUCACCAUCUGACAGCUGGUGGUGAAAUUGGUUGGGUGGGCUAUGAAAUAAAUUAUAAAUUUAUUUAUAAAUUAUAAAUUGUUUGGAGACAAGUUUCACCGAGCGGCUAUUAUGCGCGAGACUUCAUAUUAGCCACAAAGUCAGAAAAAUCUGUUCGUAAAAUUACGUUAUAAUGACCAAAUACAAUGAAAAGUAUUUUUCCAGUCUCACCUGUGAAAGGUAAUCCCAUGUGAUCUCGUUUGGACGGUAAACCUGUUGGUACAGUUAAACGCAGCACAUGAAUGAGGCAUCUUUAUUCUCCGCUUUGCCCCAUCCAAUAUGGUGGCGAGGAUGACGUAUGAUUCUACGCGGAAGGCGGCGUCUAUGUUUAUAUGUCUAUGCCCGGCGUGAAGCACUCACAGUCAUGUGGUUGUGACGUCAUCGUAAACAAAUCCGUUCUACUCAUCCAGACGACUUCGCAACGGCGCCGUUGCCAGAUCUUUCCACUCUGGAACCCGUUCUCAAAAGAUUUCGUUUUGGGGCACCCAAAACGCCGGUGCCGUGUGGAUGCCAGGCCAAAACGAUAAACAAUUUUAUCAGAUUCACCUGAAUCCGUUGCCGUGUGGACAGGGCCUCAGUCUACAUCGACCUCAGAGAGUUUUGAGUAACAGGGAUGUAAUUUGUGGUUGAAUAGAAGCUAUUCGCGAAUGUCAGUCACAUGACUUUUGCUUGUGAGUUUACUUCGGGGUGAAUGAAGUGGUGGUCAGACAAACCAAUUUGGCUGCCAUUUUGUAAAGAGCUAGUGAAGCCGUCUCUGAUUAUUUUUGCAGUUCAGAGGCCAAUACACGGUCAAGAUACCUUCAGAAAGUUGCUGUUUGCAAUGGGAUAGAUCCUAACUCGCAAGUAAAGAAGGAUUUUUCCUCUGAGUUGGAAAAUUAUCCAUCCAUUGAGUUCCCCAACAUCUCAAACACCCUGGUGCUGCAGACAUCGUUCUACACAGACAAACCGAUGAAAACCUGGAAGAGCAUGGAGGAGAACAACUUUUUAUAUGUUGUUGGGUUAAGGAUCUGGGGAUCAGGACACUACAGUAUAAAUCCUGUAUCAUUUAUGCCCGGGUAAGGAGGAAUUUUGUGGCUUUUUGUACCCAUCUUUGCGAUGGUUGCUAGGACGCUACAAGUUUUAGUAUGGGGUGUAAACAAACCACAGCCACUUGAUUCUCAAUCCUCCCUGCUCUUCUCUUCCAGCAAACAAUACAUUUUUUUUUAUUAAAACAGAGAAAGUGCAAUGAGAAUAAAUAAAUGCUGCAUAUUGUCAAGAUUGUGAGGACAUCCUGAUAAAUAAAGUGGAAACAUAUGUAUUAGUUUACAAUAUGGAGACCACGAUCAAACAGUAACCAAAAACACACCUGAGGACUGAAGCAUCUCCUCAACUUCAGAACACCAAGAAAUAACAGAAAAUGGUGAGAAGAGUCAUUUGCGAAUCCAAACAAAAUAAAUCCGAGGAAUUUACCAACCUUUCCCAAAGUGAUCACUGCAAACUGGAGCGUUCUUCGUCUCUGUUCCCAUCGAUUGCAAUGAAACAUUAAAGAGCCGCCUCUCUCAUCGUCUUUUGAUAAAAUCCUUUGCUCUUUCACCCUUUAUCACUUCACGGGGAACCCAGAAGAAAUUUAUCAGUUGCAUGGUUUGUUCGAUUUGAGCAGCCCAAAACAAUGCAAGUGUCGGGCAUUUUAACGACUCGCAAGGUGCCCCAGUGAUAGUAACGCUUUGUAAACAGUGAGCUUCGCUGACCACCACUUCAUGUCUUGCAUAUCUAAUGAGGCGGAUGUGAUGUCGGAUGCAAGCAACCUAUAGAUCCGUGAAACAAAAGAGGAAUCUCUCUUUUCUCUGUUACUGUUUUCCUCAUUUCUUUCUCUGUAAGACCAAAACAUUAGGUGUAUAACUCCAUAUUCGCUACCAUGGAGUCGAGCCCACUCAUUCUAAGGCUAAGAUCGCUAAGCGCUAGCUAGAAUAAUUUAGUUAUCUGUCCAGAAAAAUGAUGUCAUCUAAUCUUGCUCUAUCUUGCAGUUGCACUCACUAGGCAGAAUUUCCUUUUCUUUUCCGCUGGCUUUUAGCUGGAGGGAGAGUCGAGUCCACCAUGUUUGCCCACACUGACUUGUUUUGGUUAAAAGUAGGUCAGACACACCCCACAGUGGUCACGUGAUAUUGUUGCUCACUUGCGUUGGCAGUCUCUGGAAUCAUAAAAUGCGGGACACUUUUUAUCUCGGCAAAACAUUUACAUACAGGAUACACGGCGUGUGCAGCAGCGAAACAUCUCCAAACUCCAACAGCAGCAGAAAUAAAACAUUUUAGCCAGAAUUCAACUUUGUAGUCAGAGCCUUGAACAGACCACAUUAUCCUGAUCAAAUAUAAUCACAAAGGUAACUGGGAGGUUGUUACACUGUUUGGGCCUCUGACUUAGAGACACAGUUUAACAUGGUGAAGGUUCAUGAGAAGGUGCAGAUCAGAGCAGAGGGCAGAAAUUACAGCUGCUUCUCGUGAUUAAUGAAAUGAAUGCUACCAGAUUAUGGGCAGCUCAGGUCAUGUAUCCAGAUUUGGACAACAGGAAGUAAACAGGAAGCAAACAGGAAGGAGGUUUAUGGAGUGAAAUCAGCGUUAGCAGAACCCGAUAUUAUACUACAUCAUUUUAUUACGACCUGAAUUCUUGAAACCAGAAUUUCUGAAACCUUGAAUUUUGUAACCUAAAUUUUCAGUGUCAGAAUUUCAGAUGGUUUAAUUUAGGACAAAUAUAUUCAAAUAUCUUAAGAUUCACACUCUCACUUUUCAA